UCUUCCACCCACCUUGUUCAAUAAUCAAUCCAGGCUUCAGGCAAUAACAUCCGGGUAGAAGAUGAGCAGGACAAGAUUGUCAAUGAGUGUUGUUCUUGCUGUUUCGACUGCACGGAGGGCUGCUUUGAAUUCUUAUGCUGCUCCAACCUUUGUUAGGUUUACUGUAACUCUCUUCUUUUUGUUUUGUCAGUGUCUGGGUAUUUGAUUCGGGAGAAGAUAGCUUGGGCGCAUACUCUGGGGAAUCGAAAUUAAAGCAAAUUCAAGGAUAUGAUGUGAUUAAACACUUGACAA